UACGAAGGGGGCUAGCGUUGCUCGGAAUCACUGGGCGUAAAGCGCACGUAGGCGGAUCUUUUAAGUCAGGGGGUGAAAUCCUGGAGCUCAACUCCAGAACUGCCUUUAAUACUGGCAAUCUCGAGUCCGAGAGAGGUGAGUGGAAUUCCGAGUGUAGAGGUGAAAUUCGUAGAUAUUCGCAAGAACACCAGUGGCGAAGGCGGCUUACUGGUCCGGUUCUGACGCUGAGGCGCGAAAAGCGUGGGGGAGCAAACAGG
rnacentral:rRNA from 1 species